rnacentral:misc_RNA from 1 species
AAGUCGUAACAAGGUUUCCGUAGGUGAACCUGCGGAAGGAUCAUUAUCGAGUUUUGAACGGGUUGUAGCUGGCCUCAAUACGGGGCAUGUGCACGCCUGGCUCAUCCACUCCUUAACCUCUGUGCACUUUUUGUAGGCUCUGGUUGAAAGGCGUUGCUUCACUUCGGUGUGGUAAUCGCUGGAAGACCUGGUCUAUGUUUUAUUACAAACGCUUCAGUUAUAGAAUGUUUAUCUGCGUAUAACGCAUUUAUAUACAACUUUCAGCAACGGAUCUCUUGGCUCUC